CCAAAAGCUCUUUCACUCUCGGCAUGUCAUCUUUCACGAAGGAAUCUUCCCUUUUCAAAAGGCAAACCCUACAGAUCCCGUAAACUCCUCAUCUCCAGCAGCCAAAGAAAGUUCCCAAGUGACGAUCUCGUUGCCAAAAGUCUUCUUGACUCCAUCCCAAGCUCCAGAAUCCCGGGUAUUGGGUACUGAAGUCUCGCCAUCGUCUGCGAA
rnacentral:lncRNA from 1 species